rnacentral:tRNA from 2 species
GGAGGAUUAGCUCAGUUGGUCCAGAGCACUUGCAUCACACGCAAGGGGUCGUGGGUUCGAAUCCCACAUCCGCCA